AAAAAUGAUACUUGUCAUAGUGCCUUAAUUACACGAGGGUGCUUAUCCACAUCCAAAUCAUUCAGCUCUCUCUCACUUCCUCUCCCUCUCUCAAUGGCAGCUGAAACAGCUUCCCUUCUUCCCUCACAAGCAUUUCCUAGUCAACCUACCAAGAUAACAAGCAUCAAAACGUUAGCUGAAUCUCCUGGUCUCACCUCCAUCCCCGCCGCUUACACCUUCACUCCUGAUCUCCAUGACCAGGUAACUUGUGUCCCAGAAGGCUCCAUUCCUGUCAUAGAUUAUUCUCUUCUUAUUUCAGGCACUCCCGAUCAACGGUCUAAAACAGUUCAUGAACUUGGCAGAGCCUGUCAGGACUGGGGCUUCUUCACGGUAUAUCUCAUCUCUUUUCAUGUAGCAAGUAAAGCUCUUCAUGUUAUAGAAAUUUGAUCUUUGAUGGCUUGACGUGAUGUCGAAUGACUCUCUCAGCAACUUCGAGGGCUGAACUAGUUGACUAGUGCAUGUCAUGCUCUGUAUUUUGUAAAAAAAUACAAGUAAAAGAAAAACAUAGCAAGAUAACUAGUUUUUUUUCUUUGAUUUAUAACGUAAAACAAACUUUCAUCCUUCAUAUUUCUUAAUUAUUAGGUGGUCAAUCAUGGGGUGCCGGAGAACCUUCUCAGCUCGAUACUUGAUGGGUGUAAAGGUUUUUUUGAUCUGCCAGAAGAGGAGAAGCAAGAGUUUAAAGGGAACCAUGUAUUGGACCCCAUAAGGUCUGUCACCAGCUGUAAUGUUUCAGUGGAAAAGGCUUUCUAUUGGAGGGAUUUUCUCAAGGUCUUUGUACAUCCUGAGUUCUACUCACCCACCAAGCCUGCUGGCCUCAGGUAAAUAUAAUGAUCAUCACCCCCUUCAUUAGUAGCUUUUAGUUCUAAUGCGUGUUCCUUUCAAGUGAAUUCAAAGGUGAAAAGAUAUUCGUUUUCUUUUGAAAUAAGACAGAAUCUUGUGAGAAAUUCAUGAUUAAAGUAGAGGAAUCUUAAGCUUAUAGAAUUUUAAGUUCUUGGUUGGAUCUUUUUUUAUGCAGCGAGAUUUCAUUAGAGUACUCCCAAAGAGUUAGAGAAGUAGCAAGGGGGUUACUGAAAGGAAUAUCAGAAAGUUUGGGAUUGGAAGGAAGCUAUAUAGACAAGGCACUGAAUUUGGAACAGGGGAAACAAAUAUUUAUUGCAAACUUGUAUCCAACUUGUCCACAGCCAGAGCUUGCAAUGGGCUUGCCCCCUCAUUCAAAUCAUGGCUUGUUGACACUUCUAAUCCAAAAUGGAAUUGGUUGUUAAUUAUUGGAGACAAGCAAGCCCCACCAUGUGCUAGUGGGAAUAACUAAUCCCCCACUUUGCACGUGGUGGAGGACACAAAGUGGAGGCAACGGUGGACAUCAAUCAUGCCCCUUCAAUCAUCCAUUGUAUAUGUAUAGUUGUGUGUGUGUGUGUGCUGUGUAGUUGAUGAAGAACACAGAGAGCACGAAGAACACAGUGAGAAGAAGAGAAAGAGAGAAACAUAGAGAGAGCUAGGGAGAGUUGAGUUGAGUAGAGAAGAAUUUUCUCCUCCUCCUUGUUUUGUUGUUUGUAUUGUUUGUAAGCUUCAUUAAUACAAACCAGUAGCUCCGUGGAGUAAGCAAGUUGCCGAACCACGUAAAUUUGUGCGUGUUUGAGUUCUGGAAAUAACCCAACAACUGGUAUCAGAGCUUGUUCUUGACAAAGAGGGUGUUUGAUCCAAACUCCAAAAUCAAAGUUCUCCAAACGUGUUUUUCAACAUACCACUGUGUAGAGGACAACCGGACGAAUCCACUGUUGAACCCCCGGCGAAGAACCGACGUCCUGCAUGCCCGCACACGCCAACACGCGCCGACGUCCAGAUUGCCCACGCGCACCAACGCGCGCCACGCUCCUUCUUCGCCCGGCUUCUGCAAAACGGGUCGGGUUUGACCCGCCACGUCAUCCAAUCCGUACAGUCACGGCCACGUCACCUGCCACGUCAUCAUACUGAGUUUUGCUCCGGUGUGCCGCAGGCCCUGAUCUACUGACACGUGGUUUAAUCUUCACCGUUGCUGAGUUUUGAUCCGGUGCGACGCAGGCUCUAAUCUGCUGAUACGUGUCUUCAUCAUAACCGCUACUGAGUUUUUAUCCAGUGUGACGCAGGCGGUACUCUGGCUGACACGCGGCUGCAUCUGCACCGUCCGUUAAUCCAAAACUUUGAUUGCUAAAAUCUGAGUCAUCCGAAGUCUGAUUGGGGUGAUUUCAGUGUCAUUUUCAAGGUUUUUGGCCGUUCUGGACACAUCUGUAAGGUCAGAUUUGGGAAAUUCGAAUCGGAGAAUUCCGUAAAAAUGGCAGAUGAAAUAAAGGCUGCUGGAAUUGAAAAAUUUGACGGAACAGAUUUUGGAUACUGGAAAAUACAAAUUGAAGAUUAUCUAUAUGGGAAGAAACUUCAUCUUCCCUUAUUGGGAAGCAAACCAGAAAAGAUGGAAGCAGAAGAAUGACAACUUCUUGAUAGACAAGUUCUAGGCAUUAUCCGGCUAUCCUUAUCAAGAAGAGUUGCUCACAAUGUUACGAAAGAAAAAUCCACUGCAAAAUUGAUGGAAGCCUUGUCUGGGAUGUAUGAGAAGCCAUCAGCAAAUAAUAAAGUGCACCUGAUGAAAAAGUUGUUCAACUUGAAGAUGGUCGAAAACACUUCUGUGACACAACACCUCAACAACUUUAAUACCAUCACAAAUCAAUUAUCAUCUGUUGCGAUUGAGUUUGAUGAUGAGAUUCGUGCACUCAUCUUGCUAGCUUCACUUCCAAGCAGUUGGGAAGGCAUGAGGACAGCCGUGAGCAAUUCAGCUGGAAAAUCCAAACUGAAGUAUGAUGACAUUCGAGACUUGAUUUUGGCUGAAGAAGUGCGAAGGAAAGACUCGGGUGAAAGUUCAAGCUCAGGAUCAGCUCUCAACAUCAACACUCGAGGGAGGAGACACGAUAGAGGCUCAUCCAGAGGCAGAUCAAAAUCCAGAUACAGAAGUAAAAGCAAGUUUGGAUCCAGAAAGCAGGUUGAAUGUUGGAAUUGUGGCAAACCUGGUCAUUUCAGUAGGAAUUGCACAAAACCGAAGAAACCUGAAGCUGACUCUGCAAAUGCUACCACAGAUGAGGUACAAGAUGCUUUAAUUCUUGCUGUACAUAGUCAAAUUGAUGAGUGGAUUCUUGAUUCUGGUGCUUCAUUCCACUGUACGCCACACAAUGAAAUGCUGCAAAAUUAUGUUGGAGGAGAUCACGGUGUAGUCUAUCUGGCCGAUGGAACACCACUGAAUAUUGUGGGUAUAGGAGAUGUGCAAAUCAAGACAAUGAAUGGAUCUAUAUGGACCUUGCAGAAUGUAAGGCAUGUUCCUGAAUUAAAGAAGAAGUUGAUCUCUGUCGGACAACUUGAUGAUAGUGGUCAUUCAAUACUUUUUGCUGGAGGAAUGUGGAAAGUAUCAAAGGGAGCAAUGGUUUUAGCUCGUGGAAAGAAAACCGGCACCCUGUAUAUGACCACAAGAUUUGCAGACAUCAUUGCCUCAACUGAAGCAGAAAAUCAAGCACACUAUGGCAUUGUAGACUUGGCCAUAUGAGUCAAAAGGGGAUGAAGAUACUUCAGUCGAAGGGAAAGCUGCCAGAGUUAAAAAAUGUCGAUCUAGACAUUUGUGAAAGCUGUGUUCUUGGAAAACAGAAGAAGGUCAGUUUCUUGAAGGUUGGCAGGACCUUACGACCAAGAAAGCUAGAACUGGUACACACAGAUUUAUGGGGACCGUCUCCAGUAGCAUCUCUUGGAGGUUCUCGGUAUUAUGUGACUUUCAUUGAUGACUUCAGCAGGAAGGUAUGGGUCUACUUUCUGAAAAAUAAAUCUGAUGUGUUUGAAACAUUCAAGAAAUGGAAGGCUAUGGUUGAGACUGAAUCAGGUCUAAAGUUGAAAUGCUUGAGAUCUGAUAAUGGAGGAGAAUACAUUGAUGGAGGUUUCAAGGAGUAUUGUGCUGUCAAUGGUAUCAGAAUGGAAAAGACCGUUCCAGGCACACCGCAACAGAAUGGCGUUGCUGAACGGAUGAACAGGACCAUCAAUGAACGAGCUAGAAGCAUGAGGUUGCAUUCAGGGUUACCUCAAACAUUCUGGGCUGACGCAGUUCAUACCGCAGUUUACUUGAUCAACCGUGGACCAUCAGUUCCUUUGGAAUUCAGAUUGCCCGAGGAAGUAUGGAGAGGAAAAGAGGUACGACUCUCUCAUUUGAAGGUCUUUGGGUGUGUUUCCUAUGUUCACAUAGAUUCUGAUGCUCGCAACAAGUUAGAAGCCAAAUCCAAGAAAUGUUUCUUCAUUGGCUAUGGAGAUGAAGAAUUUGGAUUUCGGUUCUGGGAUGAUCAGAAUAGAAAGAUUAUCAGAAGCAGGAACGUGAUCUUCAAUGAGAAAGUUAUGUACAAAGACAGAUCAAGUGAAGAAACCGAGAUGGUUGAUUCAGAUACAAGUCCACAAAGAUCUGAAUUCAUAAGAUUAGAAGGGCUUCCCGAUGUUACUAAGCAGAACAACAAUCAAGAGUCUUUACAAGAAGAUUCAAGCACAUCUGUGCCCACUACUACACAAGAAGAUGCGGAGCAAAUUGAACCAGCUGUUCGCAGGUCUUCGAGGACGAUAAAGCCCCCGCAACGGUUCACACUUUUACUGAAUUAUAUUUUGCUGACAGAUGGUGGUGAACCGCUAACCUAUGAAGAAUCCUUACAAGAUGGAAACUCAAGCAAGUGGGAGUUAGCCAUGAAGGAUGAGAUGAGUUCGUUGUUGAAGAACAAGACUUGGGAGCUAACAACAUUACCUGAAGGAAAGAAGGCCUUGCAAAAUAAGUGGGUUUACAGAGUGAAGACUGAGCAUGACGGAAGCAAACGGUUCAAGGCAAGACUUGUUGUCAAAGGGUUUCAACAAAAGAAAGGCAUUGACUACUCUGAGAUUUUUUCUCCAGUUGUGAAGCUCACAACAAUCAGAGUUGUUCUGGGGAUAGUAGCUGCAGAAAAUUUACAUCUUGAACAGUUAGAUGUAAAAACAGCAUUCCUUCAUGGUGACUUGGAGGAAGAUAUUUACAUGCAACAACCAGAGGGGUUUGCAAUGCAAGGAAAGGAGAAUCAAGUCUGCAAGCUACAGAAAAGCCUAUACGGUUUGAAGCAAGCUCCAAGACAGUGGUACAAGAAGUUUGACAACUUCAUGUGCAGUUCCGGGUAUACAAGAUGCCAAGCUGAUCAUUGUUGCUAUGUCAAACAUUUUGACAACUCCUACAUCAUUCUACUAUUAUAUGUAGAUGAUAUGUUGAUUGCAGGAUCCAGCAUUGAGGAGAUUGAUAAGCUGAAACAGCAGUUGUCGAAACAGUUUGAAAUGAAGGAUCUGGGAGCUGCUAAACAAAUACUUGGCAUGAGAAUCAUCAGAGAUAAAGACAAAGGCAUACUAAAGCUCUCACAAACAGAGUAUGUCAAGAAGGUUCUCAGCAGGUUUAGUAUGGAUAAUGCUAAACCAGUAAGUACACCACUGGGGAAUCAUUUCAAGCUCAGCAAAGAUCAGUCACCAAAAACUGAGCUAGAAAGUGGAUACAUGGAUAAGAUUCCAUACGCCUCAGCUAUCGGCUCUUUGAUGUAUGCUAUGGUCUGUACCAGACCAGACAUUGCCCAUGCAGUGGGAGUUGUAAGCCGAUAUAUGAGCAAUCCUGGAAAGCAGCAUUGGGAGGCGGUGAAAUGGAUCAUGAGGUACUUAAAAGGUUCAUCGGAAACUUGUCUCAGUUUCACAGCUGGUGGUUUGAAACUUGAAGGUUUUGUAGAUGCUGAUCUAGCAGGAGAUGUUGAUAGCAGAAAGAGCACUACAGGAUAUGUUUAUACUCUAGGAGGUACUGCUGUUUCCUGGAGUUCUACCUUGCAAAAGAUCGUUGCUCUUUCAACAACAGAAGCUGAAUAUGUUGCAGUCUCAGAAUCUGCAAAAGAGAUAGUAUGGUUGCAGAGUUUCUUGAAAGAAUUGGGCAAGUUGAAUGGAAAAGGUACUUUGUAUAGCGACAGUCAGAGUGCAAUCUUCCUUGCCAAGAAUCCAGCAUUUCACUCCAGGACGAAGCAUAUUCAGAUCAAAUAUCACUUUAUCCGACAACUGUUGGACGACGAGCAACUAAUGCUAGAAAAGGUCUGUGGAAGCAAGAAUCCAGCUGACAUGUUAACCAAAGGACUUACACUUGAGAAACUGAAGUUGUGCAAAACUUCAGUUGGUCUUCAAGGAUAAAAGAUAAUUUCAUUGUUUGUCUCCAAGUGGGAGAUUGUUAAUUAUUGGAGACAAGCAAGCCCCACCAUGUGCUAGUGGGAAUAACUAAUCCCCCACUUUGCACAUGGUGGAGGACAUAAAGUGGAGGCAAUAGUGGACAUCAAUCAUGCCCCUUCAAUCAUCCAUUGUAUAUGUAUAGCUGUGUGUGUGUGUGUGCUGUGUAGUUGAUGAAGAACACAUAGAGCACGAAGAACACAGUGAGAAGAAGAGAAAGAGAGAAACACAGAGAGAGCUAGGGAGAGUUGAGUUGAGUAGAGAAGAAUUUUCUCCUCCUCCUUGUUUUGUUGUUUGUAUUGUUUGUAAGCUUCAUUAAUACAAACCAGUAGCUCCGUGGAGUAGUCAAGUUGCCGAACCACGUAAAUUUGUGCGUGUUUGAGUUCUGGAAAUAACCCAACAUUGGGGUCAAUGUCGGUGCCCUACCCAACUCCUUCCUGGUUAACACUGGAGAUCACCUUGAGGUGCAUUCUGACUUCCUGGCCAUGUUAUCCCUUAUUACAAUUAGGCUCGUGGUCGAUCCAAGAUUCCCAAGGCUUAAUAAUGCUGUUAAAAAUGUGAAAUUCGUGUUUUUUUGUUACUAGAUUUUGAGCAAUGGAAGGUACAAGAGUGUUCUGCACCGAGCAAUGGUCAACAACAAGGCUACAAGGAUAUCCAUAGCUAUGGUACACGGACCAUCACUAGACUCAGUCGUUAGCCCAGCACCAGAGUUAUUAGUGAGCAGUAAAGGCAAUGAACCUGCAGCAUACGCUGGUAUGAAAUACAAAGACUACCUGGAACUUCAGCAGAGCAACAAGCUGGAUGGGAAAUCUUGUUAGGUGUGUUGCCAUUGAAUGUGCCUAACCUUGACUUUGACCAUCCACCUUUGUUGAAGAAGAUGGCAGCCAUCAUUGACUCCCAUGUGCAGCUGCUGGAAAGAAGAAGAGAAGCCACCAUCAUGCCUAUAAAUAGGCACCAUACAAAGAGAGCUUUGGUGAGAGUUGUGAAUAACGUGAGGGUGAAGAGAAAGAGAAGAGAAAGGGCUGCUGCCCAUGGCAGCAGCCUUGCAGCUGCAAGGCAGCGAGAGUGAGAUGGGAGUUGAGUGAUUAUAUCCUCCUCCAUGUAUUUAUUGUAUUCUUUCUCUACCUCAAAUAAUACAAUGAACCUCUCCCGUGGAUGUAGGCGGUUUUGCCGAACCACGUAAAAUAUUGUUGUCAGUGUGCUUACUCCUCCUAUGAGCAAUUAUCAGUACAUCACCGGUCGCCGGAUUCCGCCCAACAAAUCUUGCUUGGAUCGAGUUCGAAUUCCAGCAGUUUAGCUACUGCUUCUGUGUGUGUACCAAACCAUGAAAGUAAUAAUGAUACUUCUAUGAUUUCAUGAAUGCAAAAAUGAAUGGAUAAAGAAUGUGAUUGUAAUCAAAAUAAAGACUUCCUGUAAAAUAUAAGAAGUGGGGCAUCAUUUUUGCAGUGCACUCUUAUAGCUAUGUUUCUUCCCGCAGUUGGUUUGCGUUGUUCCAUGCAUGCUAUUACACUGGCUGCCCUGCUGCAAAUGACAGGGACUUUAGCUGUUUUCCACCGUGAGAAAUUUCAUGUCAGUAAAAGGACUUUCUCUUGUUUUAUCUCCUUAGGGCAUCAUUUAUCAUUUCUUACUGAUACGUACCACUUCACCACUUUACAUGCAGGGAUUGCACACUAGCAAACCAUGACAUGCAGGGAUGAGAAGACCACGGUGUGUAAUGACAAGAUGGAAAAGACCACGAAUGUUUAGUGGCAAAGUGAAAAACUUGGUCUAAUUUCUUUAUUUUAGUUAUUUGUUUGUCGAGUCAGUUUGUUUCAGUUCUAUUUUCAACAUUUUUAUUUUGUUGCCAUGUUUGUUAUUUUUCCUACCUAUACUACUAUAUCUAUAUAGAGCCUAAAAGAGUUCAGCGAAUUAUAUGCAGUUAUUUCUUAAACAACCUUCUCUUCUCCCUUUCUUCUUCUUGAUUCUUAAAUUAUACUUUUCAGUGGUAUCAGAGCCUGGUUACAACCAUGGACACUCGCGGUAAAACAAAUGCAGAAUUCCGCAAUAAUGUCAAUGAAAUCUUGGCACGACAUGAGAUCAGUUUCGAUCAGGUGAACGCAGCAUUACAAACAGUGUUAACCGAGCUCUAAGCUCUUCGAGCUUCUCGUAGCCAAAACAAUAACUCUUCUGAAACGAACCCCUUUGCUCGUGAUGAAUCCUCACACCCACAUACUUCUCGUUUUAACACUACAAAAGACUACUCUCAUCACAACUUCAAGUUGUCCUUUCUAAAAUUUAAUGGUUAUGAUCCAACGGGAUGGAUUUACAAGGCAGAGCAAUAUUUUGAAUUUCAAAAUAUUGCGUUGGACCAACAAGUUCAGCUGGCCUCAUUCCAUUUAGAAGGCAUCGCCUUACAGUGGCACCGGUGGUUGGCAAAAUUUCAUGGACCACUAACAUGGGAUGAGUUCACUAAUGCUAUACAACUCUGGUUUGGUCCAACCGACUACGGAGAUCCAUCAGAAGCUUUGACACGCCUUAAACAAUCCACCACCAUUGUAGCUUAUCAAGAAGCUUUUGAAAGGCUUUCUCACCGAGUGGACAACCUGCCUAAAUUUUUUUUAAUAGGUUGUUUUAUUGCAGGACUCAGAGAUGACAUUCAUAUAGAUGUGAAAAUUAAACAGCCUGUAACCUUGGCAGAUACAAUAGGGGUGGCUCGACUAAUUGAGGAACACAACCAGCUGCAAAAGAGACCAAUUCAACCACUCCGCUUCCAACUACCUUAUGCAGUAGCAAAAACCUCCUCCAAUUCAGUGGCUAGGGUGCUAGGACCUCUACCAAAUCAGCACCAUAGCCAAAGUUCCAAUAACCCACUAGCAACCUUCCAUAUAAUCACCAAUCAAGAGGCACGAGAACGACGAGAGAAAGGGUUAUGCUAUUACUGUGAUGAGAAGUUCGUUCCAAGACAUCGUUGUGCCCGACCACAAUUGUUUAUGAUCGAAGAUUCACCUCAUAUGGAUACCGAAGACGUUGAGAUCAACCAACCUGAUUUGGAACUUUCAGAGGUUCUACCUGAAAUUUCUUUUCAUGCAAUUACAGGAACCGAACAUCCACAGACCAUACAUGUCCUUGGCAAGUUAAAGAACAAGAAUGUAACAAUGCUAAUAGAUGGAGGUAGCACUCAUAAUUUUAUUGAUCAGGCUUUGGUCUCUAGAUUUGGAUUACCAGUAACUCAGGGUAAGCAAUUACAAGUCAUGGUGGCUAAUAGAAAAAAUAUUGAAUGUGCUGGACAAUGUCAGGCGCUCACCCUCAUUAUUUAAGGGCUUCUUGUCACCACCGAUUACUACAUUGUUCUUGUCGCAGCAUGCCAGUUGGUAUUAGGAGUGCAAUGGAUUGCAACUCUCGGACCAGUCAGGACUGAUUACAAGCAGCUCACUAUGAAUUUCAACAUUGCAGGAAUUUCUCACACAUUUCAGGGAUCAAGGAGAACUAGCAUUGAAGCCUUAACAAAUAAGGAGUUCAAUGGAUUACAAGGCUUGGGAUUAUUUUUCCAAAUAAUUCAUUCCAAUAGUAACAACGAACCACAGUCCUAUCCUACUAAGAUCAGUAAAAUUUUAGCUCAAUUUUCUCAGGUGUUUGAAACCCCGAUCGAUUUACCUCCACAACGGUCACAUGACCAUCAAAUUCCAUUGCUUCCUAUAGCGGGGCCAGUCACUGUGAGGCCAUAUCGAUAUCCUUAUUAUCAGAAGACUGAAAUAGAGAAAAUAGUCAAGGAGCUUCUGCAAUUUGGUUUAAUCAAACCAAGUCACAGCCCAUUCUCCUUCCCGGUUCUAUUAGUGAAGAAGGCUGAUGGUGCAUGAUGAUUUUGUGUGGAUUAUCGAGCUCUCAAUGACAUCACGGUGAAAGAUAAGUAUCCAAUUCCAAUAAUUAAUGAACUAUUAGAUGAGUUGCAUGGCGCCAAAUUUUAUUCUAAAUUGGAUUUACAUGCUGGAUAUCAUUAAAUCCGCGUGCAUGAUGCUGACAUUCAUAAAACAUCUUUCAGAACUCAUGAAGAGCAUUAUGAAUUUAUUGUGAUGCCAUUUGGUCUCACCAAUGCGCUAGUAACAUUUCAAAGUCUCAUGAAUGAUCUCUUUCGUCCCUACCUCCGAUACUUUAUCUUGGUUUUGUUUGAUGACAUUCUAGUAUAUUCAAGAUCAUGGGAGGACCAUCUCACUCAUUUGCAAACUGUUCUAUAGAUCUUAUCAGCUAACAGUUUAUUUACCAAAUUGUCCAAGUGUCAAUUCGGAGUUUUACGGGUCAGUUACUUGGGCCACAUCAUUUCCGAGCAAGGAGUAUCGGUUGAUCCCACCAAAAUCCAAGCUGUCAUCGAAUGGCCACCAUCAACAACAGCAAAAAGGGUCCAUGGAUUUCUUGGUUUAUCAGGUUACUACCAAAAAUUUAUUCGUCAUUUUACGUGUAUAACAGCACCUCUACACCGUCUCUUAAGCAAAGAUGGAUUUCAGUAGAAUGAUGCAGCAGAGAAGGCCUUCCAACAAUUGAAAGAAGCACUGACAUCCCCGCCAAUCUUACACCUUUCUGAUUUUACUCAACAAUUCAUCAUUGAGUGUGAUGCUAGUGGAAUAGGACUUAGUGCAAUUUUGCUUUAAUAGAACCAACCGAUUGCCUAUUUUAGUGAAGCAUUGAAAGGGUCAACCUUAGUAUUAUCCAUAUACGAAAAAGAAAUGUUGGCAAUCGUCAAGGCAAUCAAGAAAUGACGUCCAUACUUGUUGGGGAAACCUUUUACAUUUCGCACUGAUCAUAAAAGUCUUAAAUACCUCCUAGAGCAACGAAUUACUACACCUGUACAAUCAUGCUGGCUGCCAAAACUGCUUGGUUAUGAUUACAAAAUUGAGUAUUAACGUGGGCCUAAAAAUCAAGGUACUAAUUCAUUAUCACGUGUAGUUGAAUUCCAGUUUAUAUCUAUUUCUCAACCACAUGCAGAUUGGUAGCCACCGCUUCAGAAGGAAGUCCAACAGAACUCCUUUUAUGCUAACUUACUACACAAAUAACCCUCUCAAGCCGACCAUCAGCUGCUCCUUCGUGAUUGUGUUUGGUUCAAGCGAGACAAAAUCUAUUUGAGCUCCAGCUCCCCUUUGAUUCCAAAGAUUUUGGUUGAUUGUCAUUCAUCACCUGUAGGUGGGCACUUUGGGUUUCAUAAAACUCUAUCUUGCAUCAGACAAAGUGUUUUUUUUGGUCUAAUAUGCGACAAUAUGUGAAGGAAUUCUUGUAACAAUGUGAUGUCUGUCAAUGGUUUAAAAUAUAUUAUAUACAGCCGGCAGGAUUGCUUCAACCUCUACCCAUCCCUACUUAAAUAUGGACCGAUGUAUCCAUAGACUUUAUUGAAGGAUUACCAUCUUCUAAUGGUUAUACUGUUAUCAUGGUCGUUGUUGACAGAUUGACCAAAUAUGCUCACUUUGUGCCUUGAAACAACCAUUUUCUGCUGUCAGUGUUGCCACGAAAUUUUUUACCAGUGUGGUUCGCGUGCAUGGAAUUCCAACUUCCAUAGUUAGUGACCGAGACAAGGUGUUUAUUAGUGCCUUUUGGCGCACAUUAUUCAAUCUGUAGGGAACCAAGUUAUGUAUGAGUUCAAGUUACCAUCCCCAAUCUGACGGCCAAACCGAAGUUGUCAAUCGAACUUUGGAACAUUGUUUACGUUGUUUUGCAGGAGACCAGCCACACAAAUGGGUUCAAUGGAUUCCCUAGGCUGAGUUUACUUACAAUACUUCCAUUCAUUCCUCCAUUAAGAUGACACCCUUUGAAGUUGUUUAUAGAGUUCCCACUCCCAACUUACUGGCUUAUAUACCCGACACUUCUCGCGUCCAAGCAGUUGAUGAAUACCUGCAUGACAAGGAUACCAUCCUACUUGAGUUGCGCCAUAACCUUCAGUUGGCUCAAAAUCUGAUGAAAUGUCAAGCGGACCAACACUGGCGUGAGGUAUCAUUCACUGUGGGAGAUUAUGUGUAUUUAAAACUUUAGCCCUAUCGGCAAACUUCUGUGGCUUUUCGAGCUUCUCUUAAACUCACCCUAUGAUUUUUUGGUCCAUACAAAGUAUUAGAGAAGGUCAAUUCGGUGGCUUAUAAAUUGGCCUUGCCUCCUGGUUCUCAAAUCCAUGAUGUAUUUCAUGUCAGUUUGUUAAGGAAGCAUCUGGGUCCAGUUACUCCUUCCUCUCCUGAACUUCCCCCUAUCUCGGUUACUUCAGUUGUUCUUCCCCAACUUGAAGUUGUCUUAGAUCUGCGUGUGAUACGCAAAGGUAACUAUCGUUCAAAAUCUGAAAUUUUGGUGAAAUAUGUUGGUGCACCAGUAGAAGACGCUACUUAGGAAAAUGAGUGGUGUUUCUCCAAGUCUUAUCCAGACUUCCUCCUUGUGGACAAGGUUCCUUAAGGGGUAGGGAAUGAUAUAUACCACUUCAACACUUCACAUGCAAUGUAGUGGCACAUUAGCAAACCACGACAUGCAGGGAUUGCACACUAGCAGACCAUGACAUGCAGGGAUGAGAAGACCACGAUGUGUAAUUGUGUAAUGGCAAGAUGGAAGAGACCACGGCGUGUAGUGGCAAAGUGGAAGACUUAGUCUAAUUUCUUUAUUUUAGUCAUUUAUUUAUUGAGUCAGUUUGUUUCUGUUCGGUUUUCAGCGUUCCUAUUCUGUAGCCAUAUUUGUUAUUUUUCUUACAUGUACUGCUAUAUCUAUAUAUAGCCUAAAAGAGUUCAGCAAAGGAUAUGUAGUUAUUUCGUAAACAACCUUCUCUUCUCCCUAUCUUCUUCAUGAUUCUUAAAUUAUACUUAUCACUUACCUCCAGGGAGCUCUCCAGAAGAACAAAAGGACUUUCUCUUGUUUUAUCUCUCUAGGGCAUCAUUUCUUACCUCUAGAGAGCUCUCCAGAAGAACAAAAGGAGGAAACAAGCUUCAGGUCGAAUAUGUUCUUUUAGUGUAGUUAUAUCGAGGAAGAAUCUAAUCAUUGUAAGAAUAAAAAGAACCAAACUUUUCUCUGAAUCAAGAUCCAUUGUACAUGAAGUUCAUACACUAAAUCAUGUCCUGCAAUUCAUAAUUGAUUGAACUCUAAAAAUUAUCACAGUAUGUUUUGUUUUUGGUUCUAUCUCUUAUUGUUACUAUCCCAAUUCAUGAUAAACUAGUUUUGCAUUAUCAAUGCAUGAUGCAUGUACAUUUUCAUGCUGUCAAGGUUGUGCAUGUAAAACAAACCUCUGGUAACAAAGUAAUUCCAUCAUACUAAGGUUGGUAUGAACUCUGAUAACAAAGCAACUCUUUGAGAAGCUUGAUAACUUGGCUGACAUAAAUUACACAUACAAUAGAAGUAACAUCUAUGUUAUUUACGUUAUUGUUACGGGAUAGAAAAAAACAAAACAAAAUAAAAUAUAAAAAAUAUAUUAUAUGUCAUUAAUAAAAUUAUAAUAAUCAUAGUUAUAAAAUCUAAACUAACCUGACAGGUUGAUUUGGAACCUGGACAGUCCAAGUUUAAAAAAGUAGAAGAAGGAUUGACUCGAUCUGAUCUGGUAAAAACCUGAUCACCUGAGACAAAACAUGGUAAAAAACAUGUUUACUUUUUAAAAUUGUUUUUUUUUUUGAAAAUAAGGUUGCUUUUAUUAUUUUAUUUUUUUUAAAGAAGAUUUUGGGUCAAUCUGGGUUGUCCUCUUGGCCCCGAACUUUGUCUUGGUUUAGCUCCCAGAUUGAGUUUUAAAAUUAUGAUAACAACCACUUUUAUCUAUACAUUGACACGAGUCAACCUGGGAUGACCCUUCCGACUCGUGACCUAAAAUUUGCACCGAGUUAAUUUUCAAGUUGGGUUUUAAAACUACGAUAAUAACCAUUUUUAUUCUUAUAUUGACCUGGUCAACACGAGUUGACUCUCCAAAUCCGUGACCUAGCCUUUUCUCUGGGUCAACCCCUAUUCGGGUUUUAAAAUUAUGAUAAUAAUCAUUUUUAUUCUUAUGUUGAUCCAAGUCAAUCCAAGUUGACACUCCCAACCCGUGAUUUAGGUCUUGCUCCUGAUCAACUCCAAGUUAAGUUUUAAAAUUAUGAUAAUAAUCAUUUUGAUCUAUACAUAUCUUAGUUUGAUAAUUUUAGAAUUGAGAGUUUUUACAAUGAUAUUUUAUGAAUAAAAAACAAAAAACAUUGUCUUAGAAGAUAUGCCCUUUUUAUGAUACCUCUUGUUUUGUAAGUAUAGAAACUCACUCCAAAAUUAUCAAGGAACACAUUUAUUUUUAUAUUUUUAUCUUUUCAACUAAACAUAUUUUUGUUUCUUUUAUCACAAGAUAAUAAUUAAAUGUUAACUAAAAAUUUCAAUGUGUUUUUCAACACAAAAAUAUAAAGUGUAAAUUGAAAAGCCAAUGCAAAUAUCUAAAUAAAUAAAUUGAUAAUCAUUUGUAUAAUAUGAGGAGAGGAAAUAACUUAGAGUGGGAGAGGCUGUAAGCAAAUUUUGAAUGAAUAACAUGUAGUUUACAGAAAAGCAAUUUAAACUAACAGGGAACUACAUGUAGUUCACUUCAGUUGAUAUAAACGGCAUGUCGCUUACGACUUCGCUACCUGGUUUCCUAUUUUAUCCUUGAUAAUUACUCUCAAUUCCCAACACUACCACCUUCUAAAAUCCCCGCCUUUCUUCUGCUGUAAAAAAUCACAGCUCCUUCUGAAAAACUAAUAAAGCACUAGCCUUUCGCCACGCAAAACGCUCUUCCUCACCUCAGUUUCUCCAAAAUCACAACGUUAUACACAAGUAAGAACGAGAAUCACUGUAUCUCUUCUGGGUUUUCUAUUUAAGACAGAUUUUGCUUGUUGAAUUUCAACAUGUUUGUGUCAAGUUCGAGUCUUUGCAGAUUUCUACAACAUGCUUAGGUUUUAUUAGAAUUCUAUGCUUUCAGUUUUGAUGUUUCUCUCAUGUGGGCUAUUCAUUUUCUGGCUAAUUCUUCUAUGAACAAGCAAAGAUAUUUAGUGUUGGUAAGGCAUGGCUGGAGUAUCAUCUUGGUUAAAUGAAUUUUUCCCACAGAAAAUGAUGGGAUUACUGAAAUAUCUGUUGUGUUUUGGUAUUGAGUUCUUGCACUGUUGAUGCAUGAAAAAUCACUAUAGUUUAGUUGGCAUUCACUUCAUGAUGAUACCUGUUAUUGAUUCAAGUCCAAUACUAGCACUUUGUUAGAAUCUAUCUAUCAGUUCAUAAGGAAUUGCUUCAAGCAGUUUUCAGGAUGUUGCUAUAAUAUGUUUCUUGAAUCCUUUGAACUGCCAAUUGAAUUGGUGACUCUUAGUACAUAUGCUGGGAAAUGUCAGGUUGGUAUAACACCUAUUACAUGUCCUCUAGAAGUGUCAAAUCUCUCGAAGUAUUGUGAUUUUUCCUGUAUUUUUGGAUUGAAAACGGUAUGCAGUUGAAUAGCUUCUGUGGAUGUAAGUUUUUAUUGCUGGGGCCUGGGAAUUCAAAGAUACGUUGAUGAUGGAUAUUGCAAUAUAUGCAACCUGUGAAAAAAGUUGGGACCAAAGGUAGUAAUUUUUGUAUGGAAAAUCAAAAAUAAUUUUUUUUAAUUUUUAAUAUCAAUAUAUUAAAAUAAUUGAAACAUAUUAAAAAACUAGUUCUUUUCUACACUUGAUGAAAGAACAGAAAAAUUUAAUAUUUUCUUAAAAAUAAACAAGUUUUUAAAAAACACUUAAAGAAAUCUAUUUGUGAAUUCAAAGUUAUUUUUAGAGACACCAGAUAACCUAGUUCUUAUCCACACUUGAUGAAAGAACAGAGAAAUUUCCCUCCUCUACAUGAUUCGAGCUUCUUCUUAUUAUUAUUAAUAAAAGGUUUUCCAUGUUCUUAUAAAUAAAAAUAAAUUUUAAAAAAUAAAUAAAAUAUUAUUUUAAUAUAUUUAUAAAUAAAAAAUAUUUUAAAAAAUAAUUAUUCCUCCUUAAUUUGUUGACGUGAAGCCACCGGACAAGCAAGUCCUUGUCCAUAUACAAAAAUGAUACUUGUCAUAGUGCCUUAAUUACACGAGGGUGCUUAUCCACAUCCAAAUCAUUCAGCUCUCUCUCACUUCCUCUCCCUCUCUCAAUGGCAGCUGAAACAGCUUCCCUUCUUCCCUCACAAGCAUUUCCUAGUCAACCUACCAAGAUAACAAGCAUCAAAACGUUAUCUGAAUCUCCUGGUCUCACCUCCAUCCCCGCCACUUACACCUUCACUCCUGAUCAUCUUGAUCAGGUAACUUGUGUCCCAGAAGGCUCCAUUCCUGUCAUAGAUUAUUCUCUUCUUAUUUCAGGCACUCCCGAUCAACGGUCUAAAACAGUUCAUGAACUUGGCAGAGCCUGUCAGGACUGGGGCUUCUUCACGGUAUAUCUCAUCUCUUUUCAUGUAGCAAGUAAAGCUCUUCAUGUUAUAGAAAUUUGAUCUUUGAUGGCUUGACGUGAUGUCGAAUGACUCUCUCAGCAACUUCGAGGGC
rnacentral:lncRNA from 1 species